UUGGGUAUAGAAACUUCCUGCGACGAUACUGGUUGCGGUAUUGUCGAUACCGAAGGGAAAAUACUUGGAGAAGCUUUACAUUCUCAACAUUUAACUCAUUUACGAAAUGGUGGUAUUAUACCUCCUUUGGCUGAAUCUUUACAUAGACAUACCAUAGAAAAAGUAGUUCAGGAUGCUCUAGACGCAGCUAAUUUAUCAAUAAAUCAAAUAGAUGCUAUAGCAGCAACUGUUAGACCUGGAUUGCCCCUAUCUUU